rnacentral:rRNA from 1 species
UAGUGGCGAACGGGUGAGUAACACGUGGGCAAUCUGCCCUGUACUUUGGGAUAAGCCUUGGAAACGGGGUCUAAUACCGGAUAUCACUUUUUUNNGCAUGCAGGGGNGUUGAAAGUUCUGGCGGUACAGGAUGAGCCCGCGGCCUAUCAGCUUGUUGGUGGGGUAAUGGCCUACCAAGGCGACGACGGGUAGCCGGCCUGAGAGGGUGACCGGCCACACUGGGACUGAGACACGGCCCAGACUCCUACGGGAGGCAGCAGUGGGGAAUAUUGCACAAUGGGCGCAAGCCUGAUGCAGCGACGCCGCGUGAGGGAUGACGGCCUUCGGGUUGUAAACCUCUUUCGCCAGGGACGAAGCGCAAGUGACGGUACCUGGAUAAGAAGCACCGGCUAACUACGUGCCAGCAGCCGNGGUAAUACGUAGGGUGCGAGCGUUGUCCGGAUUUAUUGGGCGUAAAGAGCUCGUAGGCGGNUUUGUCGCGUCGGCCGUGAAAUCUCCACGCUUAACGUGGAGCGUGCGGUCGAUACGGGCAGACUUGAGUUCGGUAGGGNAGACUGGAAUUCCU